UUAGCUCAUAUUUAUAUGGAAUGGGGUCGUUUGCGUACGUUUGCCGCUAGGGGCGCUGUUCCAACUGCAUACAAAAUUGAGUUA
rnacentral:pre_miRNA from 1 species